UACCAGCUCUUCGAGUGGUAGGGAUGAUUAUUGGGCUUAAAGCGUCCGUAGCCGGCUUAGCAAGUCUCCUGUUAAAUUCAGCGACCUAAUCGUCGAGCCGCGGGAGAUACUACUAGGCUAGGAGGCGGGAGAGGUCGACGGUACUUCUGGGGUAGGGGUGAAAUCCUAUAAUCCCGGGAGGACCACCAGUGGCGAAGGCUGUCGACUAGAACGCGCUCGACGGUGAGGGACGAAAGCUGGGGGGAGCGAACCGGAUUAGAUACCCGGGUAGUCCCAGCUGUAAACGAUGCGGGCUAGGUGUUGGGGUGGCUACGUGCCACUUCAGUGCCGCAGGGAAGCCAUUAAGCCCGCCGCCUGGGGAGUACGGCCGCAAGGCUGAAACUUAAAGGAAUUGGCGGGGAGCACCACAAGGCGUGAAGCUUGCGGUUC
rnacentral:rRNA from 1 species